rnacentral:rRNA from 1 species
UGGGGAAUCUUCCGCAAUGGACGAAAGUCUGACGGAGCAACGCCGCGUGAGUGAAGACGGCCUUCGGGUUGUAAAGCUCUGUUAUUCGGGAAGAACGAUUCGUUUGUGAACAAUGAACGGAAGUGAUGGUACCGAAAGAGAAAGCCACGGCUAACUACGUGCCAGCAGCCGCGGUAAUACGUAGGUGGCAAGCGUUGUCCGGAAUUAUUGGGCGUAAAGAGCGCGUAGGCGGUAUGGUAAGUCUGUCUUAGAAGUGCGGGGCUUAACCCCGUGAGGGGACAGAGACUGUCAUACUGGAGUCUCGGAGAGGAAAGCGGAAUUCCUAGUGUAGCGGUGAAAUGCGUAGAGAUUAGGAAGAACACCGGUGGCGAAGGCGGCUUUCUGGACGAGCACUGACGCUGAGGCGCGAAAGCGUGGGGAGCGAACAGG